rnacentral:rRNA from 1 species
CCCUUGAGUGGGGGGUAACUCCGUGAAAGUGGAGCUAAUACUGCGUAAGACUACAGAGUCGCAUGAUUCAGUAGUAAAAGGCUCCCCGAUUUUCGGGGAAUCGCUCAGGGAUGAGUCCGCGCCUGAUUAGCUAGUUGGUAGGGUAACAGCCUACCAAGGCAACGAUCAGUAGCCGACCUGAAAGGGUGUUCGGCCACACUGGAAUUGAGAUACGGUCCAGACUCCUACGGGAGGCAGCAGUGGGGAAUUUUGCGCAAUGGGGGAAACCCUGACGCAGUGACGCCGCGUGAACGAUGAAGUCCUUCGGGAUGUAAAGUUCUGUCAGGCGGGAAGAAACCUCCCCCCGAUGCAAAUCGGGGGGAAAUGACGGUACCGCCAGAGGAAGCACCGGCUAAUUCCGUGCCAGCAGCCGCGGUAAGACGGAGGGUGCAAGCGUUGUUCGGAAUUACUAGGCGUAAAGCGCGUGUAGGUGGUUAGCUAAGUCGGAUGUGAAAAUUCCAAGCUUAACUUGGAACUGGCAUUCGAAACUGGUUAACUUGAGUGUAGGAGAGGAGAGCGGAAUUCCUAGUGUAGCGGUGAAAUGCGUAGAUAUUAGGAAGAACACCGGUGGCGAAGGCGGCUCUCUGGCCUAAAACUGACACUGAGACGCGAAAGCGUGGGUAGCAAACAGGAUUAGAUACCCUGGUAGUCCACGCCGUAAACGAUGGGCAUUAGGUGUAGGAGGUAUCCAAUCCUUCUGUGCCGAAGUUAACGCAUUAAAU